rnacentral:rRNA from 1 species
AUUGAACGCUGGCGGCAGGCCUAACACAUGCAAGUCGAACGAGUGGCGGAGGUGAGAGUCAUGUCUGGGAACCUGCCUGAUGGAGGGGGAUAACUACUGGAAACGGUAGCUAUUACCGCAUACCAUCAGAUGUGCCCAGCUGGGAUUCGCUUGUUGGUGGGGUAACGGCUCACCAAGGCGACGAGCCCUAGCUGGUCUGAGAGGAGGACCAGCCACACUGGAACUGAGACACGUGCCAGACUCCUACGGGAGGCAGCAGUGGGGAAUAUUGCACAAUGGGCGCAAGGCUGAUGCAGCCAUGCCGCGUGUAUGAAGAAGGCCUUCGGGUUGUAAAGUACUUUCAGCGGGGAGGCGUUACCCGCAGAAGAAGCACCGGCUAACUCCGUGCCAGCAGCCGCGGUAAUAC